UGGGAAAUUUCCACUUGCCGUUUGGCUUAUGUCUGAAUAACACUCAAACCUGCUGACUUGUCCUGGGAGGAACGUUACAGUUUUUCACAAGUGCACGAUGCUCCCUUUGGAGAAGAAAUCAGUGCCCUGCCAGUGACAGCAUAAUUGCAGCUCUGGGAGGGGAGAUGAACGUAGGAAAGCUCAAGGAGUAUAACUGCAUUGACUCCAGGUGGCUGGUGUUUGCUCGUGGCUUCUUUGCUUGCGCUGCUUUCCUUUCUGGAGUCAGAGACCCCUCCUGGCACUGCAGCCUCGGGAGCUUUCUCUGGGAAGUUAAUCUGGGGAUCGACAGCACAUCCUACUGAAGAGACAUUUUAGAUAUGACGGACAGAGUUCACCUUGUGGAUUAUUCUCAGGACGUGCCGGUGAAGGAUUUGGGGGACAGACUGAUAAUGAACCCUCUGGCAUUGCUACGUGAGCAGAACACAAACACAUCAGGCAAGUCUGAGGUGUAACUUUGGGCUGACCGGUAUGGGCUCCACCCCCCAUUA
rnacentral:lncRNA from 1 species